rnacentral:rRNA from 1 species
GACGAACCUUGCUAACGUUAUUCGGAAUUACUGGGCGUAAAGCGUGCGCAGGCGGUUUCUUAAGUCAGAUGUGAAAGCCCCGGGCUUAACCUGGGAACUGCGUUUGAAACUGGGAGACUUGAGUGUGGCAGAGGGGGGUGGAAUUCCACGUGUAGCAGUGAAAUGCGUAGAUAUGUGGAGGAACACCGAUGGCGAAGGCAGCCCCCUGGGUUAACACUGACGCUCAUGCACGAAAGCGUGGGGAGCAAACAGG